rnacentral:lncRNA from 1 species
GGCCACGUGAGGGGGUCUGCGGAAGCGCUGGAGCUGAAAGCUGGGGGCGAACAUCACCAAGCAUCCCAGGAAUGCUACUUCUGCUCAGUUCUUGGAUGGAGAGGAAUGGAGGAGGAUUUUUGCCUCACUUGUGUUUUCAGGGAAUCUUUUAACUGGUUAGGAGGAUUGAGGUGUUCGCCAUCUGGAGUUUCUCUGCCUCAUGGAGCCCAGCUCAGAGCUGCCAGUUUGCAGGAGAUGAUUGAUAACAUCUUAUUCACAGCCCACCGAAAAAUGAAACAAGUAGAAGUACUUUUAAUGGAACAGAAUAAAGCACUGAGCAGGAGGUGAGAGGCUGAGGAAAAUGGAUUUCCUGAUGACAGCCGGCUUGCCAGAUCUUACUGUACUGAAGAGGAGACUUCUCAUGAGGCCUGCUCAGCGCAGGUGAGUUUUUCUUUAUUUUCUUAGCGUUUGGUAAACCCCACACAGACACAUGGAGGAUGGGAU